rnacentral:tRNA from 2 species
GGGGCUGUGGCGAAAUGGCAGACGCGCGGGACUUAAAAUCCCUUGCCGAAAGGCGUGUGGGUUCGACUCCCACCAGCCCUACCA